AUGUCGGACGCCAAAACAAAUGACGCCCAGGCCGGCUAUGAAUCGGCCAUCAGCAGUCUGCUGACCGCGCUGGCCGGUGGCAAUUUUAUUCAUGACGCCG
rnacentral:ncRNA from 1 species